GAGAAGAGCAUGGGUUGUGAACUCUAACAAUUCACAGUCUAGCGCUGCUCCCUUCCAGCUGCGUGGCUUUGGGAAAGCGCUUGGUCUCUAAGCCUGGUGUCCUCAUUUACAAUGUGAGAAAAAUAACACCAUGCCCUGAGGUUAUGAUGAGAAUUGAAUGAGAUAAUGUGCAUGAAGUAACUGAUAAAUAUUAUCAGUCUUACUCUGGUUAUAAUGGUUGCUAUUAUUUCUUCUUUAUAAUUAACUUCCCUGAAAUGGAAUUUCACCAUGAAUUAAAGCACUGUAGGAGGGGAAAGACAGAGAGAGUCAGAUGAGGGGAAGGAAAUUCGUUGGGUCUGCCCAGCCUAUAUUGUGAUUAUUUGAGAACAGCCCCUCCCACCAGAGUUGGUGCUCCAUAAAUGGCAGUUAUUAUUCUUGCUUUUUUUGUGAUUGCUGUUUAUGAGUUUCUGUUUUUGAGCCAUAUCAGUGCCCUUAACAUCUCCUUCUGUGUCCGAGCCAGAUGAUUGGAUCUUUUCCCCAAUCUCUACCCUCCUGUAACAGGAUUCUAGAUCCACAUUCUUUUCCAUGUAAAGUGCAUUUCCUCCCACCGUGGGCAGAGUGUGCUUUCUACAUGACUUGGUUUGGCCAAUGAAAUGUCAUCAGUCAUGACAUUUACUUAUGGUCUGGCUUAUUCUCUUACAUUCCUGAUAAUGUCUAUUGAACAUGUGUGUGCUGGGCAUUGAGCUAAAUGUUCUUACUGGAUCAUCACAACUGUGUAAGGCAGGUACUAUUUUCAUGCCAGUUUUUAGAUUAAAAACUGAGGCCUAGAGAGAUAAUUAACUUGCCCCAAGUCACACUGUAAUGGACCCAGGACUGAACCCAGGCAGUCAGCUUGCCUGACCAUGUCGCUUCACCAUGCUGCCUCACCGCUGGAGGAAGGUGGUAGAAAUUCCUUCUGCCCAAAGACACAAAAGGCAAGUGUGAAGAUUACACAUCUCUGCUCACUCCCCUUGCCACAGAGAGAAGAAACAUGACUAGUGGAGUCAAUGCGGCAGUGAGCAGCAGGGAUCCUGUCAUUUCUGAGCUGAAGCAUUUCAAUGUUUGUUUAGAACCCUCCACCAUUCUCGCCUGCCACAUGGACUGAGGAGGCUUUGUGUUCCAGAUGGCAAAGCCACAGGGUGGUGGUGUCUCUGUCUGUGUGGAUCGCUGAGCCAGGCCAUGAAGUGAAGCUGCCUUAGAAGUUACCCAGGCCUGCAGCAGGAGCUGAAAUUCAACAUAUUGCCCUAAGAAGCAUCCAAAGCAAUUGUGUAUCUGCAGAUGCUUAUUGUGUCUACUGGGAGAUGGGGUGAGAGUGGAGGCUUUUCUUCCUGUUGAAAGAAGAAAGAAGGUUGUUGGCAUCUGGACUCAUGGAGGAACCUGGAGGAAGAUGAUUGGAUCAUGGAAGCGGUUUCUCCCAUGCUGUUCUCAUGAUAAUCCACACCGCCUAGGGUCAGAGAUGCAGGGAGCUGGCCAAAACGCCUUUCUCUGUGAUAAAGAGGCCACAGCGUUAAAUCCCGUGAGUUCAUCAACAGAACUUUGCAAUUCCUCCAUCGAGAGAUGGCGGCUGUGUCAUCUCUCCUUGAAUCUGGGUGGGCCUUUUGACUGCUCCAACUGAUGGAGUGCAUAUAAUUGACUGUGCAACUUCCAAAAAGCAAGUUAGGAAGGCCACACAGCUUCCACCUGGCUCUCUCUCUCGGGACACAUGCCUUAGGAGCCAUGGACAGCCACGUAAGAAGUCCAGCCCCCUGAAGAUGCCCGGCUGCCAGCACCAUGCAGAGACCACAUAGAGAUGGAGAGAAAUCGCAAGAAGCCCCAGGUGCUCCAGCUCCAGCUGCCUGAGGCUUUCCAGCCCAGACACCAGACAUGUGGAUGGGGAAGGCUUUGCUGGGACUCCAGCUGCAACUGCAGGAGAGACCCCAUGCAAGAGCCACCCAGCGGAGCCCAGCCAACCCCCAGAACCUGGAA
rnacentral:lncRNA from 10 species